CAGGUAUCUGAAUGGUCCCCUCCACACUGACAGAGUCUCCCCUUCACUGUGUGAGCCUUCCCUGAGCUUCUCUUUAGGGUAGGGCUCCUGGUCCACUGGAACACCUGCUUUUUCUCAAGGUUCAAGGUCUUAUUUCAGACACUGUGCUGGCCCGCGUCUACUUUCCUCCAGCCCUCAUUCAGUUCUUAAGAUGUACGCGUGAGGUAAAACGCAAAGGACCGACAAUCCCAAGAGUCAGCAAGGAAGCAGGGCAACUGGACCUCUCAGUCCCUGACGCUGGUAUACACGGGAGCCACCACCUUAGAGUUCGGAGGCAGCGUCCAGCUGUCGCUCUGCCUCCUCCAACUGGGGCAAAGCCGUAGAAGCGCAUCACGGCAUCGGAUAGAUCACUGUUGUGAGCUCAGCAUGAUGGUCUCCCACUUCGAUGGGUUUUUAAAAGGCAAAACUCAUCUAUGAUGAGGAAGAGAAGAGUGGUUGUCUCUGGGAGACGCCUGCAUACUAACAGGGUAAACAUCUCACAUCGGCUUGCUUUGCCAAAUGCAAGACACCUCCAAAUAAAACGAAG
ensembl:lncRNA